UACGUAGGGUGCAAGCGUUAAUCGGAAUUACUGGGCGUAAAGCGUGCGCAGGCGGUUAUAUGAGACAGAUGUGAAAUCCCCGGGCUCAACCUGGGAACUGCUUUCAAAACUGCUGAGCUAGAGUACGGUAGAGGGUGGUGGAAUUUCCUGUGUAGCGGUGAAAUGCGUAGAUAUAGGAAGGAACACCAGUGGCGAAGGCAAUCCCCUGGGCCUGUACUGACGCUCAUGCACGAAAGCGUGGGGAGCAAACAGG
rnacentral:rRNA from 1 species